rnacentral:rRNA from 1 species
UACGAAGGGGGCUAGCGUUGCUCGGAAUCACUGGGCGUAAAGGGUGCGUAGGCGGGUCUUUUAAGUCAGGGGUGAAAUCCUGGAGCUCAACUCCAGAACUGCCUUUGAUACUGGAGUCUCUAGUUCGGGAGAGGUGAGUGGAACUGCGAGUGUAGAGGUGAAAUUCGUAGAUAUUCGCAAGAACACCAGUGGCGAAGGCGGCUCACUGGCCCGAUACUGACGCUGAGGUGCGAAAGCGUGGGGAGCAAACAGG